GUCGAGAAUCUUUCACAAUGGGGGCAACCCUGAUGGAGCGACGCCGCGUGGAGGAUAAGGUCUUCGGAUUGUAAACUCCUGUCAUGCGUGAACAAGGUUGCUUGGUUAAUACCUGGGCAAAUUGAUGGUAACGCAAGAGGAAGAGACGGCUAACUCUGUGCCAGCAGCCGCGGUAAUACAGAGGUCUCAAGCGUUGUUCGGAAUCACUGGGCGUAAAGGGUGCGUAGGUGGCGUGGUAAGUCAGAUGUGAAAGCCCGGGGCUCAACCUCGGAACUGCAUACGAGACUGCCAUGCUAGAGUACUGGAGAGGUGACUAGAAUUCUCGGUGUAGCAGUGAAAUGCGUAGAUAUCGAGAGGAAUACCAAAGGCGUAGGCAGGUCACUGGACAGUUACUGACACUGAGGCACGAAAGCGUGGGGAGCAAACAGGAUUAGAAACCCCAGUAGUCC
rnacentral:rRNA from 1 species